UACAGAGGUCUCAAGCGUUGUUCGGAUUCAUUGGGCGUAAAGGGUGCGUAGGCGGCGCGGUAAGUCGGGUGUGAAAUUUCGGAGCUUAACUCCGAAACUGCAUUCGAUACUGCCGUGAUUGAGGACUGGAGAGGAGACUGGAAUUUACGGUGUAGCGGUGAAAUGCGUAGAUAUCGUAAGGAAGACCAGUGGCGAAGGCGGGUCUCUGGACAGUUCCUGACGCUGAGGCACGAAGGCCAGGGGAGCAAACGGG
rnacentral:rRNA from 1 species